rnacentral:rRNA from 1 species
GAUGAACGCUGGCGGCGUGCCUAAUACAUGCAAGUCGAGCGAACAGACGAGGAGCUUGCUCCUCUGACGUUAGCGGCGGACGGGUGAGUAACACGUGGAUAACCUACCUAUAAGACUGGGAUAACUUCGGGAAACCGGAGCUAAUACCGGAUAAUAUAUUGAACCGCAUGGUUCAAUAGUGAAAGACGGUUUUGCUGUCACUUAUAGAUGGAUCCGCGCGGCAUUAGCUAGUUGGUAAGGUAACGGCUUACCAAGGCAACGAUGCAUAGCCGACCUGAGAGGGUGAUCGGCCACACUGGAACUGAGACACGGUCCAGACUCCUACGGGAGGCAGCAGUAGGGAAUCUUCCGCAAUGGGCGAAAGCCUGACGGAGCAACGCCGCGUGAGUGAUGAAGGUCUUCGGAUCGUAAAACUCUGUUAUUAGGGAAGAACAAAUGUGUAAGUAACUGUGCACGUCUUGACGGUACCUAAUCAGAAAGCCACGGCUAACUACGUG